GCUAUAAAAGGCAGAUGCCAGCUGCUAGCUGGGGCUACAAAGAGAAAGUAAUUUGGAAGGAUGAGGUUGUAUGUUUGUUUAAAUUUUUUAAUUUGUUUUUUAGAAGAUGGUGUUCUGGGUUGAGGAGCUAUGAGAUGGAGUGUGCAGGAACUUGCAUGCUAAUUAAACCGGUACUACUACAGCUGAUCUGAGCCAGAUGAAAUCAAAGCCUCAAGUCUACACACCUUAAAUUUGAAUGGCUUCAAUUCUCAUGGACUGGAUCAAUUUGAAGGCUUCAGAAAGCAGCUGCAGCUUCUUGGAAGCUAUAAAAGGUGCUUCCUGGGAGAGAUAACAAAGAGAAGAACCUAUAAAAGUGAGAUUGGCUACAACGACUAUGAAAUAUUGUAUCUGGACACACAAUCUAUAUGAUGCCAGAAUUUACACAGAGACAACCUAAGUGAAAUAACAUCAGACAAAGAAGAGUUGAAUGGAAGGUUGAGAAAGGCUGGUAACCACACCCGCUUCAACAAAAAUAGCUCCUGGUAACAACGUGCAUCAGAUGAAUUUUUUGUUAAUCUCCUGAAAGAGGAAGGAGAACAAAGGGAACGUGAUGGAGCCACAGAGAGAAGUGACAUGAGGACUAGGAUUUCACCACUAGAGAGUGUAUUUCUACUGUGCAACUUGACCUUUUCUGCUCCCAGAGAAACUGAUUCAAGGUGGGGAUCUUAGAAAUAUACAGCAGUUUGAACAGCAUUGCCUGAAGUCUUUUCUAUGGGUCUUUUACUAAAAAGCACAUCAAGGAAGUACUGUGUCCUUGGAAGAUUAAUGCAUUGCUUCCUCUGUGCAUUGCUUAGCAUGAGUUUCAGGAAGCAUUUUGCAAAGUAAGAUGUAUGUAAAUUGGAAUAAAAGCUUAUACUGAGCUUAUCCUUGAGACAGAUGGUUACACAUUCAAAUUUAAAUUUUAAGCAUUUCAAUAAAAAAGCCAGCUGAAAAGAAUGUAUACAUAUUUUUAAAAUUUUGUCUUCAACUGUGUUUUUUCUAUCACUGCACAUUUUCUUUGGGCCAAUGCUGUAAUUUUUAACUUAAAAAUUGUUCUUUGAAAAUUCUGCCUUGGCUUCUGCUGGCCUGUCUCCAAAUCUGCACUACCAAAGCCACUGCCUUGCCAUGGUGUACCUAUAAGAAAAAUACACAUCUAAUUGUUAGAGAAAUAGGGAAAAUGAAUCUCUCACAUGCAUGAGAUGCCACUUUUGUUUAAGGAAAUGAGGUUUGUAUAGGGAUUCUUCACUUGACCUCUGCUGUCUGCCCAUGGUGGCAUCCACACACGGCUUUAUGCCUCCUUCAUUGGUCAUACACUCAGGCAUGUCAUAUCCCACUCAUUAUGCUUGAGACUUCUCUGUCUUGCUGCAGCCCACUUCUUCAGCAGUCCAGUCUUCACCACAUUUUUGUGCACAUGGUCAUGCCUCUAGCCUGGAAAUUUACGUCUUAGUCCUGAAGCUAGUGAAACAAAUUAAUUUCUAAUGUAACUUGAUUUUAAUUGUGUUUACUAUAGGGGUGAGUCUGACCAAGUCUUUCUCUGUUGGAAUUUUAAAACUUUGCAGUGAAUUGAGGUAUAUGUAACCCAGAACAUACAUUGAUAUUUUAAAAGUUUUGCUCCCUUUUUCUUUCAUAAUGAAGCUGGCACAAACUUACAUGCAGUAAAUGCAGUAAUUAUCUCAGUUAUAGCAUGUUCCAAGGGACAUGCUGUUCCAUGACUGACCAUUAAAAUACCAAACCAAUUAUGUGCAAAUUCAUGUAUCAUUUAGGCACCACAAAGCAUUUAAGAAAGAAUGGAUAUUAGAAGUGAAUUUCAUAUAGUUUCCAUGGUGAUUGUACUAAAAGCAAUAACAAUAGGCUUAAAUAUGUUUUUGUUUAGAAUAUCUUUAAAAGCACUUGUUUGGUUUAGACUUGCUAUGUUUACUCUAUAAUUUGUCCCAAACUACUGAUUAUUAUAAAAUGUAGCUAAAUUGGCAUGACUGUAUUGUUCAAACAUUUCAUCAGAGCACCAAAAUAGUUCAAAGUUUGUUGUUUAAUAUUUUUAUCACAGCUGACAUUCACAUUAGAAUGGGAAAAUGUUCCAAAAAGGCAGUGACAUUGUGAUUUAAAAUUGGUGCCACAGCGUUGUAUUAGGCCACCUUCCAGAGUACAUUUUGCUCUUGCUGUUUUAUUAUAGAAUUCAGAAGCUUAUCAAGAGAGAGCUAAACUUUGUACAAACAAAAGCAACACAUUGGCAGCCUCUCAGGAAGCCCAGAGCAAAUUAGAGUUAUGAGUAUUCACAUAGUGAUAAUGGGUCAGGGGAAUAAUCGAUGGAUGGGACUGUACCAUUAGUUCUUACUUCAGCAUCUCUUUAAAAGUACUACAGAAAUUGCUUCAUCUUAGAGUCUGCCUGCAACAAGCAGCAUCAAGGAACAGGGCAGUAAUCUGCUGAGUAUAAAGUACAAGUAUUUGAGGGGUUGUGGAACAUGAGAUUUGCAGGGUGAGCAUCACAGCCAUCAGACUUAAUGCAGCUAUUUCAGUCACUUCCAGCUAAACGAAGGAUGAAGGCUCCUUAAAAAGCUUUUCUGCUUCUCAGAAAUAGGUACCUGAGAUAGUAUUCAAUACGCCAGUUCUGCACAGCAAACAUUUUUGUGCUUAAAGCUAUACUUUCAUUGAAGUGUAAUGAUAUUUCGGAUUAGUGAUUACAGUUAUGGAGGUGUUUGUUUUCUGAAUUAGGACCCACACACUGGUGAAACUUCACAGUAAUGUUGCCCUUCUCUCUCUUUCUGGUGAACAAAGCUAACACAGUAUCUCUGACAGUAUAUGCUGUCUCCACUGAGUUGUGGAACAGGACUGUGAGUGAGUUGGAUAAGAGAGGUAAGUCUCUAAAGCUGCAAACUGUCCUCUAUUUCUGAGUUGCUCUCUGGCAGGCCUAAUCACUUCCAUGGAAGUGGAGAGUGUGAUCUCAGGAAGCACCACUUUAUGAUCUCCCCCUUCAGUGAAUGGCUAGAAGCAAGCUCAUCCAGAAGACGUCCAGGAGCACCUAAGGCUUGGUUUCUGCUCUGCAUGGCCCUGCAGGGGAGCCCAUCCCACUCCUCUGGCCAGAAGAGGUGCUGCAGAGAUCAGCCUUACUGAGCCAGAAAUAACUUUUAUGACCACAACCCCACCCAACCAUCCAAACCAUGCCCAGAACUAAAUCUCUAGGCUUAGCUGAAUAUGGGAACAAGGUGCCUCUGAGAAGCGGUUGAGGGUGGGCUUUGAACAACACAGUCUUGGCCUCUCAAUCAAGGAAUGAGGUAGAUUAAGGCCUUCUCAAGUUUUGGCUGUCAGUAACUACUGUAAGUUUUCAGCAUGCAUGUAAAACUCUUAUAUAUUUUUUAAAAAGCCAGACUAAAUUAUGGUGUUCUUCUGUGAAUUAUAAAUGUUGCAGCCACAGUCAGGUUCCAAGGCAUGGAUCGAGCUGGAUGACAUCUGGACUCUGAGGUAACCUUAGAUGAAUAUGCUGCUUCUGUGCUAGACCCAGUCUUCUUGGAAGCUGCUCUUCCAUAAAUGUUUUAAUAAAGUGCAGUAAGUGCAGAUACCUGCCAGCUGGGAUAUGGAUGCUUUUGUUCAUGUGCAACUCCUUACUUUGAGUGGUUGUGACAACGUUAGGAAGACAAUGGUACUUGAACUGAGAAAUAUCCGUGUAUGUUUCUCUGUGACUCCUACUUUGGUGCUUGACUUUUGGCUGUCUUUCCUUGAGGCUGCACAAAUAGCUACACUUUCCGACAGAGCUGUGUACAGUCAUGUGCAAUUGCACAAGGACGGUGCUUCAGGAACAAGUGUGCCUGUGUUCUGAGACAUCACAAGGGGCAAACAGCAGAAAUACUGGUUUAGUCCCAGCCUCCUUGCCAGAAGGAAGUGUUUGUUUUAGCUCGUAGGUAGGAGUUCAAUUCUCCUGUUCCAAGGCUGUCUCUUGUUUAAAGUACAUCUGCUCAGGGUUUUCCUAGGGGGGAAUUUGGCUUUGCUUUUACAUGGGAUACUGGAUUUUGGCUGAUGGGCUUCUACUGACUAUGAUGGGCUUUUGUGUAGAGAAAUAUAUUAUAGCUCAUGUGGGAGGCUUGCAACCUACCCGAGAGAGUGAGCACCCAUUACUGGGAGAAGUUAUCCCUGUACAAUUCAAACAGCUAGAUCAGAUGAUUUUUGCCAAAAUUUCCAUUCUUGAUUUUUAUUUUUAUUUUUGAGCUUGGAAGAAGGAAGUGAUGAUCACUCAGUGAUUUCAGGCUCUUUUUAGUUUUCACUCAGCUCCCUGGCAUUGUCCACAGGUUCCACAUGAAACACUGAAAUUUUGGCUCAGGUUUUCCAGACAGUAUGCUCUUCCUUUAGACAAACUCUACCACUCUUUUCACAUCUAGGUUUGUCCCAUGCCACCCUUGCCACACAGAUGGCAGGUAUCAUUUGGCUCAUUUCCCCUGGUUAGUGCUCACACAACUUUUGGCUCAUACAGGGACAAGAAUUAGUAAGCUUAGCAAAAUUCCUAGAGGGAAUUGUUGUGUAGAAAAAAGGCUGUUCUUUGGUUCUUCUAGAAGCACCUGAUGUUUUCCUCUCUCAGCCCAUGGAUCAGGACAAAUGGCCUCACUGUAGGACAGAUUUGACUCAGAUCAACUCUUAUCUACGACUCUAGCUGCUCUACGUGUUGUGAGAAAAGUCUUUUUCUGUAGUAAAUGCUGACGUAUUUUAAUAAUUAAUAGUGAUUUGUAAUGCAUUUUAAAGUGCAAAGCAACUGCACUAAUUAAAAUAAAAAGAAAAAAGAGGCUUUUAGAUUUUUACACAGAGCUGUAUGUGUCCUGAAGCUCUUGAAUUAGAUAUUCUUAAAAAAUGACUUGCUGUCCAAUUGUAAGCAUCAGAACACAUUAUAAUGAUAUACCCUUGUUUUCUUACUGCCUCCGUAACUACAUGGUUAAUAGGGCCUUCUGCUUUGUUUUGCUCUGACAGCUCCAAGUGAAGCAAACACAGAGGCCUCCAAGCUUUAUUUUCUUUUAAUUUUAUGCAGAUUUUUAUUACUGGAUAACAUCAGUGUUGUUCAUUGUUUGUGAAUGCUGAAAGUGAACAGCAAGCAAAUGAUAGUAAUAAACCAAAAGCUAAAAGUGCAUUUUUGUUGUUUUCAACAUCUUCUAAAAAUAUUUUUAUUUCUACACUGAAAAAUAUCACCACUCCCCAUUUUUGUUUUGCUUAUUCUUGUGCUGGAGGGAGAGGACUCUAGGCUCUAUAUUAGAUUUGAGAAAUUCCUCACUUUGCCAAGAAGUCCCUGCUAUGAUUCUCAAAUACUACAGGGAGAACCACUGAUCUGAUAUGGUGCCAUUGAUGUCAGGGAGCCUGGUAAUGCACCCACCACCAAGCAAAUGUGCUUUGGGUAGGGGAGAUACUUGGUCUACCUUGCCAUAUGCUAUGAAAAUCCUGCCAUCACGUACAUCCAGCAGUUGUUGAAUGCCAGCAUGACCCACUGGAAGUCCAGAUUCUCUUGCAAAGGUCUUGCAAGAUAAAUAAGCAAAUGUGCUUGUACAGAGAUGGGGAAAAUGGUCUCUUGCAGCCCAAGGCUACCUGAAGUUGUAUUACCUUGAUUUUCAUUUCAGACACUAGUAUAGAAGAGGCAAUAAUGUGGUAUGCAGAAAAUAAGUUUACCUUUCAUAAUGUAGGCUGGUUCAAUAAGACCAUAUCAGUAGAAAACUUUACAUAUUUUUUCUCACUUAAGCCAUUUUCAGUCCUCUUGAGGACUGUUACUACUUUUUUUUUCAAUAGAGGCCACUGAUUGCUUUUGAAAUGCUGCUGCAGAUUUUCAAAACAAUGAGGUUCAUUCUCAUUUAUGAAAAGACUUCUUUCUACAGCUAGACUAGUGUAGAAGAAACUUUCAGAAAGCAAUACCUGAAGCUCAAUGCCUUUAAUGGGACUGUAAUUUUAAAGAUGAGUAUAUGUUACUGUCAGCAACUUUUAUAGCCAAACCAUCAGAAAAAAUGUUGCAUGUAAACACACUAAAGCCUUUAAGGAGAAAGAAAUAAAUGGAAACUAUGAGGGAUACAGGCUUUUUGAUGGUUUAUCUUAAAGAAAAUUCCCCUUUGUGACAACUGUAUCCCUAGCGAUAGUAUCUACCAGGUAGACAACUUCUGCCUAUUAAUCAGACAUGUAUGUGCUAGAAAUAUCAACUCCUCUGAUUACAAAGCACAGAUCAAUGAAGCUGAGAUGAGGGAUAGUUUAAUUUCUAUUAGAGUCUCAGCGUGAUGUAACAUGAGUUUUCUUAUACUGGUUAGCACAUCUGAGUUUGAAAUAUCAGUGUUUUUUUGUGAGGGGAGGAUUUAUUGUUUUCAUAAUUGUACCAGGUAUUUAGUCUUCCUAUGUCUCCAGGCAAAUUUCAGAGAAAACAAUUGUGAAAUAGAAGAGAGGUGGCUGCCUAAUGCUGCAGGCAGUUGUGAUUAGUUCCAUACUUAUUUUUCAAGUGAUGUAUCCUGGUAUUAAUCUUGCUAAACACCCUGGAGUACAGUAGAUGGGGGGGAGGAAAGGCUCAUAAAACCAUUCACACAUUGAAAGUGACAUUGUCGAAAUUUCCAUUCACUAAACUCCCUAAAAAUAACGAAAUUUUAUUAGAAAAUUAUCUUCAUUAUUCCACAGACCAUCAGAUGAUAUAAAGUACCAUCUUCCUAUAUGGUAGCUGCUUAUAUAACCUGAGAAUAUGUCCCCUAUAUUGUAAACCAAACAACCAGAUUUCUUUAGCAGUUCAAGCAACAUGCUGGUUAGAGGCAGAACCUAAAGCUGUGGUCACACCACCAACAGUCCUCUCUAAAUUCAAGCUCUGUGUGCAUGCUCAAUUAUCAGAAAGCCUGGAAUCACUUAGCAUCUCUUAUCUGGGUUCUUUCCUUUGUUUUAAAGCAUUGAUGCCACCAACUAAUUAUUUCUGAAUAGGGAUCCCCCAAGAGGAGGCUGACAUCUGUGUCAUAUGCUGACAGCUCUAUUAGGGUUGUAACAUUAUAUGCAUCAGAGUCUGAUGGGAUUUCAUGUGCUUCAAAAGCCAGACAACCUGCAACAGGAUACUCUUGGGCAGUUAAAUCACAUUAAAUAUUUAAGCAUAGAAUUUGACAUUGUUCAUUAGGCCUGUUAAAGAAUCUCACUUCUCACUGCCAGAACUAACCACACACCUUACAAAUUGCAUAAUUUCAAAAAUGACUAACUCUUUCUGCUUCUUAUGCCCUCCAUGAAUAAGUUUCCAUGGUAGUUUCCAGUGUUUCCACAAUACUGCCUGUAGUUUCCAUGAAAGCCUUAGUCCCAUUUCCUCUGAAAACAAUGGCACUUAAAUUAGUUUCAUACUGUAUUGGAGAAGGGUAGCAUUAAUUUGUAGUAGAGAAAAUAGUGAAUGAAGCUGAAUGAAGGAAAUCAAAAGUUUUCUUAAUUUGUCACUAAAAUUUGAGUUCAUCAACCAAAAUGUUUUAUAACAAGACAUUUUUGUUCCUGUACCAAGCCACUGAGAUCCUCAGAAUGAAGGCAAGCAGUGCAUCAUGUAAUGAGCUCCAGCACAACGACGUGAAAUGACCUCUUUUUGGCCACACACAGAUUGCAAAGGCAAAACUGAGGAUUACAGCCAGGUUUUGUGACUGUCAAUACUGUCUUUAGAUUGGUAAGGAUGUCUUCUAUCUUUGGAAAAUCUCACAGUGUUUUUUUCUGAAAGUGUUCAUCAUUGUUACAGUUCUUCUCCAUCUGAAGAAAAAAGGUUAUAUUAAGCCCAUAGUCUCUAUAUAAAGUAAUGAUACCAUAAUGAAAUUACAUUUUAUUUUCCUAUGAAGAUUGGCACUACUGUAAUAAUAAUGAAAGCCGUCUGCAUUGUGGAUUUCCUUUGCCCUUAUAAUAAUUAUGGUUUAUAUCUAGAUAAAUGCCCUUGAUGCUUCUUGGAUCACUAUAUUUUUUUCUGUGUCUUUCAUCAGAAAGAAAGCUUUGUUCUUGUUUUGUCUGAGUUCAUAAUCCUGUAACAAUCUUUAUUUAUUUAAGAAUAAGGAUUACUUUAUGUUCAUUCCAUUGCCUGUUUUUGAAGGUUGUUCUCUUCUUUUUGCAAGGCUUUGGAAAGAAACUUUCAUACUGUUUAUCUAUUCAUUGUUCUUAAAUUUUGUAUGUCCUCUAACCUCAUGUCCUGAGAAAUAUGUAAUUAUUCAACUUUUGUUAUUCUCUUUUUUCACUGGCCAAUUUCACUGUGUGAUUUCAAUUGGAGGAUGUUUUAAGUAAGAAAACAGAACAAAAUAAUGCAACAUUAUCAUUUUUGCUGUAUCUACAGUAGUUGACUGGUGUGACAUUGAGAUAAUUUUGGAAUAACACUGAUGCUAAAGUUACAGAAUGCUGCUUUCAGGGGAUGUUGACAUAGAACAUCUGUGUACAAAGUGACAUUGUAUCAGAAAGCAUGGUAUUGUACAAUUAUGUCAAAAAGAAAAAAACUGUAUUUAGAAAAAUGGAAAUAAUAAUAAUUAUUUUUUUUAAGGGGAGAGGAAACAGAGUUUUAUAAUUUAUUUCAAAGAGAUGGACAGAAUUGCUCAUAUAUUAAUCACUGUCAUAGUUCUAACACUUAAAGUUAACAUCACCUGGCAAUGUAACUUCUCAGAGCAAGUGUAGGAGGAGAGAGGAGUGACAGGAGAGUAUGAAAGUGAUGACAAAGGACAUAAUCUCUGGCCAAUAAAAAUAACCUAUGGCUUCAGCUACGUGGUCUGACUGUAGGAACUACUUUGAGAUGAGCUUUGAGGUGACUGAUGGUAUAUCUGGCAGGAAGCAGUGUGUAUCUAGCAUUUAGCAUACUCUUCAAAGGACAUAUAUCUGCUGUAUAUAUGUCCUGCUAACUUCUCUUGCCCAUGACUUGAAAGGGCUGUAACAUCCAUCCUAGGAGAACUUUGACACUGGAUGUAUGUGUCUGAAUAGCCUUAAAGCAAAAAGAGCUCAGGCUGCCCACGAGAGACAAGGAUGGUGGCUACCAACCCCUGCAAGCAACCCAAAGUUCAGUCUGCUCUUAGGAUUGCUCUAGCAGGUGCCAUGGGAGAAGGUCUGUGAGUCAUCAUGCUAAGCUGUGCCCCCUGUUCUGUAUAGAGACCUCUGUGAAAGCAGCAGUCCUGUACAAAUCAGUUUGGAAGUUUGCUUCUAUGCUUCCAGUUGAAAGCAGCUCAAGCCUUUACCUCAACAGUUGGUGUAGUUCUGUGUUUUUCAGCUAAUACAGACUUGAGUGAUUUUUCCUCCCAAAGGGAAGAUGUCUGUGGUUUCUCACAUAUGCAAGGCUGCAGGCGAUAAACAGAAAGAAAUAUAGCACUGAUGUA